UGGCCAAGCUGCACGUAUCAUCAUAAACAAACCCGUCUAACUCAACAAUACGGAAAGCUUAGCCGAAAAUUCUACAACAGCUGAUAAAACAGCUAUUUUGCUUUCCAACAAUGUAGUCCUUCCAAAAUUUGAAAGUUUCCCUUUGCAGAAAUUUCACUUCAAACCACGGCUUCCACACAAAAUUUACGAUGUGACUAGGCGCAAGGUAAACAGGGUUCACGCACGAUAAGUUUUAAAUUUAAAUCUCGCGCCUAAUUGGAUAAUCAAGUGACGUCUAGCAAAGUCAAUUACGCUUAUCCAAUUAGGCGCGAGAUUUAAAUUUAAAAUUUACCGUUCGUUAAUAUUGUUUACCUUGCGCCUAGUCACAUCGUAAAUUUAGUGUGGAGGCCGUGGUUUGAAGUGAAAUUUCUGCAAAGGGAAACUUUUAAAUUUUGAAAGGACUACAUUGUUGGAAAGCAAAAUAGCUGUUUUAUCAGCUGUUGUAGAAUUUUCGGCUAAGCUUUCCGUAUUGUUGAGUUAGACGGGUUUGUUUACGAUGAUACGUGCAGCUUGGCCA